AGAAAUAGUGAUCCACUCAUACUACACGGAAUAUGUGAUCUAUAAUUUGAGCCAUCAGUAUCGAAGGCAUCUGACGCACCGUGUUUUAAGAAAUGCUGAUUAAACUUAUCCGUCAGUGAUACGUCUCAUCAAUGACCUCAAAAACAGAGCUUUGUUCAAUAUGUGGAAGCAGAUUAUUCAAUGUUUUCCAAACUGUUUUGGAUCAUUAAGAAUAUGAGUAAACUAUAAAGAAUAUGAGCAGUGGACACGGCGGCACUGCCGUGACAAUGUCACCGAACGUACCCUUACUUGUGCAGGUUUACGCUGGCUACUUGUUCGUCUUCGGCGAGGCGGCAUCGUUCCCUGUUGACGUAUAGUGCCUGCAGUCUGACAGAAUCGACGCGGCGCAAUGGCUUCAUGGGUACCACUCGUUCUGCGCAUCUCCAUUCGACGUGAUUAUGCUUUCUCAUCGACACGUGGACAUGGAAUACGGCGCACCCGACGCGGCGCAAUGGCUGCAUGGGUAUACCACUCGUUCUGCGCAUCUCCAUUCGACGUGAAUAUGCCUCCUCAUCGACACGUGGACAUGGAAUACGGCGCACCAUCUUUGGGCACGAUGACAUCACGGGACCAUCGUCGGAUGCAGCAAGGCCUGUGGCUAUAAAAGGCGCAUCUGCACGCUUCUGCUUCAGUGGACACGGCAGCACUGCCGUGACAAUGUCACCGAACGUACCCUUACUUGUGCAGGUUUACGCUGGCUACUUCGUCUUCGGCGAGGCGGCAUCGUUCUCUGUUGACGUAUACUGCCUGCAGCCUGACGGAAUCGACGCGGCUUCAUGGGUACCACUCGUUCUGCGCAUCUCCAUUCGACGUGAUUAUGCCUUCUCAUCGACACGUGGACAUGGAAUACGGCGCACCAUCUUUGGGCACGCUGACAUCACGGGACCAUCGCCGGACAGCAAGGCUUGUGGCUAUAAAAGGCGCAUCUGCACGCUCCUGCUUCCGUGGACACGGCAGCACUGCCGUGUCAAUGUCACCGAACGUACCCUUACUUAAUUGGGCAGCUGACAGCGGGCCCAUAUGCGGCAACGGCGUUGUCGAGCGAGGCGAACAGUGCGACUGCGGCUUCCACGACGCCGACUGCGCAGACCGGUGUUGCCACGCUAGGCAUAACGUUGUCGGUGCACCGGGGUGCACUCUGCGCAUCGGCGCCGUCUGCAGCCCGUCGGCCGGACAGUGCUGCGACGAAGCGUGCGGCUUCAAGAACUUGUCCAACGUGUGCGCAGAGGAGACGGAGUGCAGGGAGCAGGCCACAUGCGACGGCGACCGUGCCGCGUGCGCACCGGGUCGAGCCAAGGCCGAGAUGACUCCGUGCGCCGGUGGCAGCCGCGUCUGCGUCCAGGGCGACUGCUCGCAAUCUGUGUGUCUCAAGUACGGACUUCGCGAGUGCAGCCUGGCCGGCGCAGGCCGGUUCUCCUCUCAGCAACUUUGUCUGGUCGCCUGCCAAGACGGUGUGUGUGCACGACACGUAUGCACGCGACUGUGGUGGGCCACAAACGAAAAGUUGUCGUAACGCGUCGUGAAAUGUAAAGCUCGUAAAAACAUGCAUUGUCCUUUCAACGGGUUUUCAUUUCCUUUACGAUUUACAGAAAUAUCAUUGGUAAAGGCUGAAAAUUGGCACCGAGACUUCGUUGAACUUCGGUGAAGACUUGUCGAAUUUUUCAUCGCUCAAUGUUAAACAUAGACUGCUGACAUUUCUCAAAGUUUAUAUGUACCACGUGGCAUACAAUCUCCGCUUCACACCUGCCGCAGUAGCUCGGUGACUAUGGCGUUCUGCUGCUGGGCUUUAGGUUGCGGCUAGGAAUCGCGGCGGCCUCGCAUUUUGAUGAGGGCGAAAUCCAAAAACGCUCGUAUGCUUAAAUUUAGGUACAGGUCAAAGAACCCCAGGGGGUCAAAAUUAAUACGGAACGCCCUGCUACGGCGUCCCUCAUAUAGCCCAAGGACUGAUUUCGGACAUUAACCACAAUGAAUAAAUAAAUCUCCAUUGCAUGCAACUACACCAAAUGUUCAUAGUCAUUCGGUUUACGUAAAAUGGCGGACAGUAAAGUCUAUAGCCUAGAAAAACGGUGCACUUCGGAAGUGUUUCGUGGUGUCUUAGAGGAGAUUAGAAAGCAGAAACGGACUUCCGUUUCACAUGAGUAUAAGGCAGGGAACUGUUGGUCUUUUAUGCGAGAACCAGAUUUAAUGUCGGGUGUAUUUUGCUAGUUGACGUCGCUGGUCAUAGGCGUGUAUACACUAAUUUUACGCCGAGGGCUGACAAGUAAUACACAGCCUGUGGGCCUAUAUAUUAGAACACAGGCAGAAAUAUUAUUCGCUUGAUUAUCGAUUGAUGCGGGUCACCAGUGCUGCACGUUUUUGUCAUGACAAGAGCGCAGGUAUCGUGAGCCAUUAGGUUGAUGCACUCUCACUGAGGGAAAUCCAUGUCGAUAACUCACCCUGAACGUAUUCCGUGCAGUCGCCACUCCAGAGAAACAACGCGGACGCGAAGGGAAGGUAAUAUAGUCGGGGUAGGCAAAAGAGAGUGAUGAGAUGAAAGACAUAUAGGCGAGACUGGGUUAGUUAUAGAGAGCACGGCAAGAGAAAUGGCGGAAUUUAAAUAGGCUUAAUCUGGCAAUAGAAUUGUGUGAGUGGUUAACAUUGGUGCCCAAGCCUGUGUAACUUCUCCCCAUACGACCCUUCGUUUCCCCCGUCUACGGCAAUAGAGUUCGGUUCCUGCAAGCCCGGCUGCGACCUAGCUUCGCCUUCGGCUCGUGCGUCGCUCUGCGGCUUGCGCCUUCCUCCGGGUGCCUCGUGCAACGACCUGCUGGGCUACUGCGACGUCUUUCAGCGUUGCCGGCCCGUGGACGACGAGGGACCGCUGACGCGCAUGCAGCGCCUUUUCUUCGGCGCUCCUGUCGACGCCAUCAGGCUUUUCAUCGCGUCGGACCCUCCCAGGGCAGUGCUGGUGCUGGCGGUCUCUUGCUGGCUAGUGGCGCUGGCUUUCCGCUGCUGCGCCGCCCUCACGCCCACUAGCAAUCCCCACAAGAAGCUGUGUGGUCAGUCGUCGCCGCCACAUCAGCAGCGGAGUUCAUCGGCAUUGCCCAGGUGACGCAAGCUGAUGAGGCCCCUGCCGGCGACGGUUGCUGGACACAGACGCCGUCCUCGGUGGACCCCUUGCGUCGACGCAGACCUCGCCACUCUGCUGGUGCGUGCUCGAUGGGUGCUUGUCGUGGAGAAGAUGAGCUGACGUGCCAUUUCGAAACGGCACAUUUGUCUAUCGGCCCACAUCGGUUCUACGAAGGGCAAUCACCGUGACCUCAAUAAUUAUGAACAUUUACAUUUAUGAAUACUUCCGAUUAGCGAUACGAGCUAUAUACGUCAGCGCACAGUUCGUCUACAAUUGUUGUAAAUACCAUUUCGAAGACAGAAGCAAUGUUUCUCUUCACUCAUUCGUCGUGUUCCUCGGGGUUCUUCCACUGCAUGGAACACCACCUUUGUAUUCUAGCGUUUCAGAUGAAUAACUGGUCUGCCAGAUAUCACGAAACGAACCACAGGAACACCAAGUGCCCGAGGGCUCACUUUGCAUCACAAUAUAGUUCAGGUGUCUGUGUCGUCCUGAAACAACAGAUUUUCCCCUCGUUCCUUACCGAAAGGUUCCCUCGUUCUAAUCUGGGACCCGAUGCUGUUUCGUAGUUGUUCUUCUAACGCAUAGGAGUGAUCCCAAACGAUGACUCCACAGCGCUGAGUGAGAACAAGGGUAACUUAGGGGCACUAAUUUGUUGAGGGCGAUUUUUUGCAGGGCAUUUCAGAUCGAAGGAUCCACCUCUGCGCAAAUCGAAAUGCCAGUGCAAGUAAUCAACGUGGCAUUUAGUAUACUUUGACGGCGCUUCCAUUAUACACCAAAUGGGCAAUGGGGACACCCAAGCUGGAACCCGGACUGGUUCGUGGGCUGGGAGCUCGACGAGACCUAUCGCGGACAGCGAUUGUCAUGCAUGUCACGCUGAUACGCACAUGCCAUUCGCGACUUGGUACGGGAGCACGGCGUUAUAGAAAGAAAAUGCAAGCAAAGUAGAUGAUUCGUAUUGUAUUUGGAGACAAUAUAAGCCGCAAAUGCUGCAAAAUUGUGGCCCCGGGAGCCAGCGUAUUUAAGUGUGUCACAAAAACGCAGUUGACGUGAAUGAUACAAAAUUCGAAUUUCAAUUAUUGGAGGUAACCUACCAUAAGACGCUCAAUGACCAUGACAGACUGAUGAGAGAGAGAUGGCUAGUCUGCAAACAGCUGCGAGCCGUCGUCUCCUCUGAACGUGCUGGAUGUGCUGCGCGAGGAGUCGUCCGAGCAUAAUAAAAGUUUAUUCUCUCGUCCGAACGUUGAGCGGUGGUGUCCAGCUCACCCACCAGUGGGAAACAGAUAGGGGCGAAAGAAACGGUAGGAGAAAAUACGAUGAGAAAUAUUUUUAUUUCAUUGAAAAACACUGCUAAACCCAACGCUAGGGGACAUAGCAGAGUGGUACAGAUCAUGUAUCAGAAGACAAUAAGA